AAACAAGUGAUUCAGAGAAGGGAGAGAGAGUUUUUCUAAAAGAUCAUUAACUGGCAAUGAUUGAAAAAUCCAGAGGGUUAUUUAAAAGCAAGUUUCAAAACUCUAACUCUUUUCUCACUAUCUGGAUGAAAAGAUAUUCCUUUCGUAGCACGAUAGAAAAUAUUCUUUACCAGGUAGCUGGCGGUCUGCCAUGUCUGUUUUCAUCAGGAAACGGAGGCGCAAUUCAACAUUUGGUUUUUCAAUGUGUGCUGAUACUUGAGAGGCACAACAUGGAGCACCAAGCCACAACGCCAGGCCCAAUUUUGGAUUUACAGUUCUUCUUCAUGACACUGACAUGUGGACAGGAGGAGCUGGAGGUCGAACCACCAACCCUCAGAUACUGGCAACCUGCUGAGCCACAGUCACCCCAAAAUGUCUCCUCCUUCAAGACAGAUUUGUUUUUUGGUCAGCGAAUGUGAUUAUGUGCGUCUGUCUGCGAGUUUGCUUGUGUGUGUGUGUGUGUGUGUGUGUGUGUGUGUGUGUGUGUGUGUGUGUGUAUGUUAACACAUGUUUUGUGUUAAUCCUUGUCCUUGCUCAGCAGUCACACACCCCGCUGUACACACACAGAGCAGUUUGUCCCCUGUGGGCUACAGUAGCUCCCUCAGUGUGUUAGUGCCUCUGCUCGGCUGAAUACAGUGAAGCCUUUUCACUGUAAUCACUGAUCAAUAAUAGUGAUCAAUACUGUUCCAUCUGCUACCAGUUGGCUUGAGAAAAUAGGCACACACACUUCAGCUGGGGACACACAACAUGACUGAACAGCGUCUUAAAGGACAGCAGACACUUGAAGCUGCUCUGUGGAUGAAAUAACUAUUUUCAUGAUAUUAGCAGAAUUAACAUAAAUAAACGUCAUCCAAACACACUCACAUGUGCGAACACAUAAAAAGCCACAAUCAACUCCCUCCCUGCAACAUGCAGCUCUACAGUAUGAAGCCAUCAUUAAUGCAUUGAGCCGGAUGUUGCUGUGACCUUUCUCUUUUUAGGCCUGACCCCAGCAGAUGACCCUGGAGACGGAUUAGUCUCUGAUACGCCUAAUUAACCCAACAGCACACUGCUCAGACUGCAGCAGCAGAGAGUCACACACACUACAACACCCUGUCCCUGCUAUAUUUAUACUUUCUUUCCCUCUUUCCUUCAUUUGGUUGGGGUUUGGUGGAAGCCUCCUUCAGUUUUCAUUAGUCUUCUCAAACAGAAAAGAAAGGGAACACAUUUUUUCUGAGGUACAAGGCUUUUGCCCCACACCUGAAAAAUUAAUUUAAAUACCCAAAAUCUACCUAAAAUCAUCUUCUUAAUGCCCUUUACAAAAAGUUUUUCAGACACCCCGUCCACCUUGACCCAUCCGCUAAUACUCCUCUGGCCCUAGCUAACCCCUGUGUAAUCCCUAUGAAGCCUAAACAACUCUAUUUAGACUGUGGGGUUUGUAAAAAGGAAGCAGAUUGGAUUUCAACAGGGUUUUAAAAACUAGAAAAAACAUCCAUGUUGAAACCUGCGGAAAUAAGUCUGCUAACAUAACACACAUUCAGACUCCCACUGAGGUUGAAAGAAAAGUGACCAAUCAGCUUCCAAAGCCUGCAACUUCCAUAGUAUACACCUACUGUAUAUUAAAUUAAAGUCAAUUUAGUUUAUAUAAGUUCCUGUUUCCUAAAGUGUUUUAAAAUAUGUGUGAGUGUAAAUCUGUAGUAAGAGAAAAGUUUGGAUAGCAUAAAUAAAAUAGAAGGAUCAAGAGCACAACUUAAAAGACUAAAUUUCUAUUUUAGUUGACAGUGUAGAUGCCGUCAUUGAAACGGCAAGGCUGCUGUUCAAUUUGCCACCUUUCUAAAAAUGGAAGCGGGGCUGUGUCUGACAACUUUAGUAACCUUAUAAAUCUGACAUUUAAGCCCACUUAACGCA
rnacentral:lncRNA from 1 species